rnacentral:tRNA from 1 species
GAAUAAUUAUUAAAAUUAAUAAAUAAUAUUAUUUAUAUUAUUAAUGAAUUAUAUAAAUAGAUGAUUAUUCA